rnacentral:rRNA from 1 species
UACAGAGGGUGCAAGCGUUGUUCGGAAUUAUUGGGCGUAAAGCGCGUGUAGGCGGCAUGGCAAGUCGGGUGUGAAAGCCCUCAGCUUAACUGAGGAAGUGCGCCCGAAACUGCCGUGCUUGAGUGCCGGAGAGGGUGGCGGAAUUCCCCAAGUAGAGGUGAAAUUCGUAGAUAUGGGGAGGAACACCGGUGCGAAGGCGGCCACCUGGACGGUAACUGACGCUGAGACGCGAAAGCGUGGGAGCAAACAGGAUU